CGGGGUGAGGUAACGGCGUGGGGUACCCUGCCCCUGUACAGGGGGAUAACACAGAGAAAUCUGUGCUAAAAACCGCAUAAGCUCACGGGACCGCAUGGUCUUGGGAGAAAAACUCCGGUGGUACAGGAUGGGCCCGCGUCUGAUUAGCUAGUUGGAGAGGUAAGAGCUCACCAAGGCGACGAUCAGUAGCCGGUCUGAGAGGAUGGACGGCCACAUUGGGACUGAGACACGGCCCAAACUCCUACGGGAGGCAGCAGUGGGGAAUAUUGCACAAUGGGGGAAACCCUGAUGCAGCGAUGCCGCGUGAAGGAAGAAGAUUUUCGGAUUGUAAACUUCUAUCAGCAAGGAAGAAAACGGACAGUACUUGAGUAAGAAGCCCCGGCUAACUACGUGCC
rnacentral:rRNA from 1 species